UACAGAGGGUGCAAGCGUUGUUCGGAAUUAUUGGGCGUAAAGGGCGCGUAGGCGGUGCGGUAAGUCUGUAGUGAAAUCUCUGGGCUCAACUCAGAGUCUGCUGCAGAAACUGCCGUGCUUGAGUGUGGGAGAGGUGAGUGGAGUUCCCGGUGUAGCGGUGAAAUGCGUAGAUAUCGGGAGGAACACCUGUGGCGAAAGCGGCUCACUGGACCACAACUGACGCUGAGGCGCGAAAGCUAGGGGAGCAAACAGG
rnacentral:rRNA from 1 species